CACAUUUCACUAUCUCUAUUAAUAAUUUCUGAACAUUAAAUCUCAGAGUUUAUUCACCCUGUUACGUGCCCAAAGAACUGGUACAGAUAAGAUGGCUUCUGUAACCAUUCCAGCAGCUGAUUGGUGAUUCAACGGCUGAUUGGAUCUUGAAACUCCUCCUACUCGUCAGUGGCUGCAGCUGGCUGGGCUCUUUAAAAAGCCUAGUUUUAGAUCUGUUCACUCACUGCUCUCUGCUCCUGCUGUUGGUGAGCUUUGUGGCCCUUUGUAGGCUCCUUGGGUAGAUGGAGAUUUGGUGCAGAAGCUGAAGGUUGAAGUUCAGGGUCUUCAGAGUGCAAAAUCAUGUUCAGACGUAACCUGUCUUGACCUAGAUCCAAACAGACAAACCUAUUUACAAUCCAGGACAAACAGUUAAUUUCAGAGUUGUCUCUGUGGAUCCCAAAUUUGUGCCUUUUGAUCAAAUGUACAAUCUGGUCGUGGUGGAGGCGAGUUUGCUUCGGUGGAAGACUUUGAAUGGAGCCAAUGCAGCUUUUUGCGUUUUUCUUUCUUUGCAGAUUUUUCUCUGAGCUGUUAAUUUGUUUUAAGAUGGAUAUACACAUGGCCAACCUGUACCUGGUCAAGCCUUAGUGGAAGUGCGCUGUGAUCCAUAAUUUGACCAGGCCAGACAGUGCCUGACUCAAACCGCAAAGAUGAAUGCCAUGGGCAGUGCCUCUCUGACUGUUGAUGCGUCAGUGUUUUUCAACACCAAAUGGAAGACACCUUUCUUGUGAAUGUUACUAAAGGAGGGAACAGAUAUAAUGAUGUCAAUCUGAAACUGUGUCCCUUGCGUUUGUAGUCGGCAAAGUCACAUUUGUGGACCUCCUGGUUUCUUAUUUUGAACCUGGAUCAAUGCUUAAUGGAAAGAUCUACGUGACUUGACAAAGCUGUAUUUCUCUUGGAGGGGAGCAACUGGCCCAACAAACUGCUGUUGAAUCUAACCACAAACCAGAAUGGAUGGGCUGUGUUCUCCCUCAAACACUGCUAAUCUUAAGGCUGAUCUGAAUCUGGUGAUACAACGGUUGUCAGCUUCUCCCGACAACCCAUUGGUUGGUGAUCAGACUAUAGUGACGCUCAAUCAGCUGCUUAAAUGUGGUGCUUUGUUUCCAGUGACUGGAGUAUUCACUUGUUGGAGAGGCUGGUAGCUACAGCGCUGACAAUCUACAUGACGGUUAAAGCAAAGGCUGGUGAUGCAGUCACAAGCGGCUCUGUGACGUUCCAGUUGUUGGUGUCUCUGCAGUUUUCUCUGGCUAUGGCAGUUCUUGUGGAGGGAGAUGUUCUGAUGAUUUCAGGAUCUGGGGGCCUGGAAGAUGUCAGUGCUG